rnacentral:lncRNA from 1 species
UUAUUGACUGUCACAGCACUGGAGACAGCAGAGGCCAUGGUUACAGACAGCACUACAUUCAGGUUUAAUCAAUAUGAUUACAGACAGCACUACAUUCAGGUUUAAUCAACAUGAUUACAGAGAGCACUACAUUCAGGUUGAAUCAAUUGAUACAGACAGCACUACAUUCAGUUAAUCAAUAUGAUUACAGACAGCACUACCUUCAGGUUGAUCAAUAUGAUUACAGACAGCACUACAUUCAGGUUGAAUCAAUAUGAUUACGACAGCACUACAUUCAGGUUGAAUCAAUAUGGUUACAGACAGCACUACAUUCAGUUGAUCAAUAUGGUUACAACAGCACUACAUUCAGGUUGAAUCAAUAUGAUUACAGACAGCACUCACAUUCAGGUUGAACAAUAUGAUUACAGACAGCACUACAUUCAGGUUGAAUCAUAUGAUACAGACAGCACUACAUUCAGGUUGAAUCAAUAUGUUACAGACGCACUACAUUCAGGUUUAAUCAAUAUGAUUACAGACAGCACUACAUUCAGGUUGAAUCAAUAUGAUUACAGACAGCACUACAUUCAGGUUGAAUCAAUAUGAUUACAGACAGCACUACAUUCAGGUUGAAUCAAUAUGCUGAAUGUAGUGCUGUCUGUAAUCAUAUUGAUUCAACCUGAAUGUAGUGCUGUCUGUAAUCAUAUUGAUUAAACCUGAAUGUAGUGCUGUCUGUAACCAUGGCCUCUGCUGUCUCAGUGCUGUGACAGUCAAUAAGAGGGGAGUGGAAUGUCAGUAUUCUCAUUGUUCUGUCUCCAAAGUGACGGAUAUCUAAAACAAACACCCUGGAAUCAUCUGUGAAAUAAUAAAACCCUUAUGAUUAAAUGAUAAACACUUCAAUAAAGAGAUUGUUCAUAGUAAAAUAGUGUGGAUGUUGUUGGUACUGAGAAGCAUGCAGAGUACAGGAUUUGAUAA